rnacentral:rRNA from 1 species
AUUGAACGCUGGCGGCAUGCUUUACACAUGCAAGUCGAACGGCAGCGCGGGCUUCGUCCUGGCGGCGCGUGGCGAACGGGUGAGUAAUGCAUCGGAACGUGCCCAGCAGUUGGGGAUAGCACGGCGAAGGCCGGCUUAAUACCGCAUCCGACCUGAGGGUGAACGGCGGGGACCGAAAGUCCUCGCGCUUUUUGAGGGGCCGUGGUGCGGUUAGCGAGUCGGUGGGGUAAAGGCUUACCAAGGCGACGAGCCGUAGCUGGUCUGCGUGGACGACCGGCCAAACGGAGACUGGGACAGGGCCCAGACCCCAAGGGAGGGCAGCGGAGGGGAAUUUUGGAAAAGGGGGGCAACCUUGAGCCAGCCAUGCGGCGUGCGGGAAGAAGGCCUCCGAGUGGUAAACCGCUUUUGUUCGGGAAGAAAUCCUCUGGGCUAAUACCGCGGGGGAUGACGGUACCGGAAGAGUAAGCACCGGCUAACUACGUG